UUCAUUUAGCUCAAUUGGUAGAGCAUGAGGCUCUUAAUCCAGGGGCUGUGAGUUCGAGCCCCGCUUUGGGCGAAA